rnacentral:misc_RNA from 1 species
UGUAUUUCGAAAUAAAUAUAGAUGACAUGUAAAAUAGAAUUGUAUUUGGCGCAAAAGUCUUUGGGAUACGUGGAGUGAACCCCGUGGCGCGUUGUUGUGAUCUAACAUGGCGGAACGUAGUGUUGUGGCUGUUAGAUGUCUAUGUCAAUUUUAGAGUGAUUUCGGAGUAAUAAUACAAAAGCACGGCGAUGAUCCGUAGUUACAGCGUUGAAAGUAUUCGUGUUAGAUAAUCGUGUGAUUGGUAAUAUUUAGGUUGUAAGUGAGCAGGGUGUUGUUCUACAUCGGUUUUCCUCGCCGCGGGAAUAGAACACAGGCGGCAAGAGCGCACACAGGGCUUCGGCUUUUUUAGCAGAACAUUACCUUCCGACCUUUCACGACUACGAGCUUAUUUCAAUGAAUUACUUGAAAUAGGCUUGACGCUUUGUAGGUUUACGUGACUGUGACACGUGCACGGAAGAGCGUGUACUACGCUAACUUUUCCCGCGCGUCCCAAAAGCUUUACUGUUGGCGCAGGUAUCAAGCUUAUGCAACUGACGAGCUUAUAAACAUCUAACAACGGUAAACAAUCUCAUUGUUUCGAGCAUAUACGUCGAAAUAAAAGGUACUUCCAUACGUCGAAUUUCAUUUCUUUAAUAAUAUCAACAGAUUUGAUUAUCGUGCCGUUUAUUAAUAUCGUCGUCAUCGUCGUCGUCAUCGUUUAAAUCUAUCAAUGAAAUAGCUAUUCUUCAUCUAUUAUUUGUGCAGAGAGACACCAAGAGGAUUAAUUCGUCAUUUUGGAUAUACCUAAACAAUUGUUAUUUAUUAUUAAUACCAAUCUAAGUGCAUAUACAUAGAUACACUCAUGGUGAUAUAUGAGUAUUUUAUACUCACUCCUAAUAUUGUAGUUUCUUCGAGACUGACCAAGGAAAUCAUUGAAUUUAGAUGAAUGAGUGGUUAUUCAGAAAAACUUUUUUCUAAUAAGUUAAGACUUCUGACUCUGCUGCUGCUACUGCUGUUACUGUUAUUACAACAACAACAACAUCAACAUCAACAUCAACAACAAGUACAACCGUUCGGCAUUGUGCUAUACCUUAGUGGAUUAUGAGAGAAAUAAUAAAAGUUUGGUAGAUAGAGGAAUUUUUGUGCGUGCAUUUAUUAUUUAAUUGAAAAUUUUGUAAGGAUAGAUAGAACGAAAAGAAAGAGUUGGAAGGAUUAUCUUAAACUUCUAAGGCAUGCGAGCUGGUUGGUGAUAAUACAUUAAAUAAUAAUAAAAAAAAGAAAGUAGCAGCAACUACGCAAGAUAUUUUUGGAAACAUGACGGAUACACGCAGAAGAGUUAAGCUUUAUGCGCUUAAUGCUGACAGACAAUGGGAUGAUCGUGGAACGGGUCAUGUUUCUUCUUCCUAUGUAGAUAGAUUAAAAGGAAUAUCGCUUUUGGUUAGAGCCGAAAGCGAUGGGACUGUCUUGUUGGAAAGUAAAAUACAUCCAGAUACGGCAUAUCAGAAGCAGCAAGAUACCUUAAUAGUAUGGUCGGAGGGUGAUAAUUUUGACCUGGCCUUAAGUUUUCAAGAAAAGGCUGGUUGUGAUGAAAUAUGGGAAAAAAUAUGUCAAGUUCAAGGCAAAGAUCCAUCAGUUGAAAUAACUCAAGAUAUUGUCGAAGAAUCGGAAGAUGAACGCUUCGAUGAUAUGUCAGAUGCCGCACCGCCCAUAGAAUUGCCUCCGUGCGAAUUAAGUCGAUUAGAAGACAUUAAUGAAUUAAUAGGAAAUUGUUUGGCUUCUCCCAUGAGAAAGGAAAAACUUGCAGUGGCAUUGGAGUCUGAAGCGUACAUCAAGAAACUUUUAAAUUUGUUCCAUACUUGCGAGGACUUAGAAAAUAUCGAAGGAUUACAUCAUCUUUAUGAUAUAUUUAAAAAUAUUUUCUUACUUAACAAGAAUGCAUUGUUCGAAGUGAUGUUCAGCGACGAUACAAUUUUUGAUGUUGUUGGAUGUCUGGAAUACGAACCAACAUUGCCUCAACCAAAAAGACAUAGAGAAUAUCUUCGACAAUUAGCAAGAUUUAAACAAGCAAUUCCAAUAACAAAUGCUGAAUUAUUAGCUAAAAUUCAUCAAACGUAUAGAGUUCAAUAUAUACAAGAUGUUGUUUUACCUACUCCUAGUGUAUUCGAAGACAACAUGCUUAGUACAUUGAGUAGUUUUAUAUUUUUUAACAAAGUUGAAAUAGUAACUCUCAUCCAAGACGACGAAAAAUUUCUUACCGAAUUAUUUCGUCAGUUUACGGAUGAAUCUACAUCGGACAAUAAAAGACGUGAUAUGGUACUUUUCUUAAAAGAGUUUUGCAAUUUUUCUCAAAAUCUUCAACCACAAGGCAAGGAAUCAUUUUAUAAAAAUUUAACGGCAUUGGGUAUAUUACCUGCCUUGGAAAUUACAUUGGCAAUAAAUGAUCCGCAAACAAAAACUGCGAGCAUUGACAUAUUGACGUAUAUCGUGGAAUAUUCCCCUAGUGUUGUUAGAGACUAUACAUUGCAGCAGAUAAAUAAUACAGAUCAGGACCAAAUGUUAGUCAAUGUAAUAGUCGCUCAACUAGUCGGGGAUAGCGAUCCUGAAUUGGGUGGAGCAGUACAGUUAGCUGGUGUCUUACGUCUACUUCUUGAUCCAGAAAAUAUGUUGGCUUCAGUCAACAAAUCAGAAAAGACUGAUUUCUUGAAUUAUUUCUAUAAAAAUAGUAUUGGAACACUGAUAGCUCCUUUAUUAGCUAAUACAAUUGGCGAAAGACCGGCAAGAGAAGAUUACAGAACAGUGCAACUUUUAGGCCUGAUAUUAGAGUUAUUAUCAUUUUGUGUAGAACAUCAUACAUACCACAUUAAAAAUUGCAUUUUAAAUAAGGAUUUACUUAGAAAAAUAUUGGUUUUAAUGAAGUCAACGCAUACGUUCUUAGUAUUGUGCGCAUUAAGGUUUAUGAGAAAAAUUAUAGCUUUGAAAGAUGAAUUUUAUAAUAGGUAUAUAGUAAAAGGAAAUUUAUUUGCACCUGUAUUUGAUGCAUUUGUAAGGAAUAACGGUAGAUACAAUUUAUUAGAUUCUGCUAUCUUGGAAAUGUUUGAAUUUAUUAAAUUGGAAGACAUCAAAUCGCUUUGUAUGCACGUUGUAGAAAAGUUUUCUAAAGAACUAGAUGCAAUUGACUAUGUACAAACGUUUAAAGUAUUGAAAUUGAAAUAUGAUCAACAACCGGAUACUAAAGUUAUAAAGGAACACGAAGGUAGCAGAACAACGGUCGACAGGUACAUGUAUUCAAGCGUUCCGUCAAUAUUAAGAAACAGCCGAUAUCGGAGAGAUCAGAGACAGUUAGACGAAGAAGAAGAAAUGUGGUUUAGAGAGGAAGAAGAUUUUGAUGAGGGAGAAGCAGUGGUACCUGCAGCCACUGCAGAUUUGGUACCACCUGCUUCGGCUAAGAAACAAUCUUCAUCUUCUAAUUCUGCCCUCGGGUCUUCCCUUGCAGAAUCGAAAAAUCAUCAACAACAACAGCAACAACAAUCUGUGUUAAAUAAUAAUACAGCAAAUAAUAAUAUAACUCCUCAGCAAACUCAAGUAAACAACAGUACAUCAACAACGAAUGAAACUCCAGUUACACCUGAGAUUACUCCUAGUUCUACCAUUGGUACUGUAGAAAAGGCAGGAAUUAUUAUUAGAAAGGGAUUGGUUGAUUAUGAAGAAGAUUCUGACGAAGAAGAUGAGGAUUCUGGAUUAAGUCCUUCCCCAAAACGACAACGGUUGUCGUGGUAGAUGUACUGGGAAUAUAUUAAAAGAAUGUGCGAUUUCCAAAGUUUAUAGUCAAAUAUGGCCCUCAUUAUGUGCACAAAAAGUUGAUCGAAAAGGUUAUACAAUCUAUUAAUUUACAGUAAGAAAAGAGUACUGAUUGUACUGUAUUCGCUGAUCUGAGUGAUAGACGCAAUGAAUAAGUGCUUUGUUAAAACAUACAACGCGUGAUGAACUUUUACAUAUUUUUUUUCUUUCUUUAAUUGUGUAUAUUAAACAAAGAGAUGAAUGUGUGAGAAGACAGUGAUUGGGAAAUAAUGUAGAAACAAAAAUAAUAAUAAUAAAAAAAACAAAUAAUUAAAUAAAGGAAUAAACGUAUUGGACAACAGGAUUGACAGGACAAGAAAGUGAAGGUAAAACUGAAAAAUAAUUGUAUUAUUAUAUUGCCGAAAAUAUCAGGAGCGUUUACUCAUUAAUUUAACUGAAUUUCAAAAUGGAUUAAUGAUGAUUUAUUCCAAUUAAAUGCAAAUCUGUUAAGUAGGGAUACAUUUUCUCAGAUGAUAAGGUGAAAUAUUCUCAACCUCGUGAAUUCUCUAGACAUUGGUGUCUCAAUAAUACACUUGAGUCUAGAUUAAUAAAUCUAUAAACUGUGACUAUAAUAUUGACAUGUACGAGUUCAUUGGAAAACAGGAACUUACUACAAGUCGUGUAAAGAACCAUUUUCGGAUGUUUAAGUACAUGAUCUACAAACCGCACAAAAACAGUUUGUGUCUUUGCCAUCCACGGUUUAAAAUUAGUGGUACGAGCGAUUGAAAUCUGUUUUUGCUAGGGUCAGGAAGCCACGAAUCUUUAUCCAACUACGGAAAUAAUAUUUAGUUUGUAUAUAUAUGUAUAUUUGUAACGAUUGUAAAACGACCACAUACUUGGAUUAAGCAGAAAAUAUGCGACUACUUCACAAUCUCAGUUUCCUUCAAGAUACAUUUGAAGACUUUUUUGGUUAUCAAUGGCAAAAUGAGAAGCCUGGAAUAAUCUUUGUGCACUGAGAAAAAAAAAGAACAAGAAAGAAAGAAUGUCUUAUUUAUAAAAAAUAUUCAUAUCUACUUACAUUAUGUUAUGUAGUAGAGCCGUGAGAUGAGAAUAAUCUCGGAUACUGCAAUGUGUAAUCUUAAUUUGUCAUAAAAAUUGAGAUUCUGUACGAUCAUGAGAAUAACAGGAAAAACGCCAGCUCCAGAAAAGAGUGUCUACUUUUCUAGUUUAAAUCCGUAAUUUUUAAAACAUAGUUAAGAUCUAUAGCGAAGAUGAAUCUAUUACUUUUGACUAAAAUCAUUUAAACUAGAGCAGGCCUUAUAUACAGUGACCAAUUUGAAAAUAAAUUAUUGCCUUACCGAUUGAGUUGACUUUAUAAAAAAGAAAAGAAAAACAAACAAACGAAGAGUAUUAUAAGCUAAUGUACAGAGUUUUCAAUACGUCUAACAUAAAUGAAUUUCCAAGACUGUUGUAUAAUUGUAAGUAUGAAUGUUGAAAUUUUUGUGAUGUCGUAAGAGCAUAUACAUAUGCACAUAUAUAAUUGACAAACUUUAACCGACAGGCGCAUAUAUUAACUUAUGAUACUACAAAAGGAAGGUGAUAGCGAAGUUAAUUCGUUCAUCGAGAUUAGUAAUAUUGUGAAUAAUAAAUUCAAGUAGGCAAAUUCGCUGGAGCUGAGUAAAAUGUGUGUAUAUAUAUAAAAUGUUGUUAAUUCUGAAAUGACCACAGAAAAUAAAAUAAUGUAACUGAAAAUACAUAUAUUAAUUAGAUAGUUAAGAUAACAACAGAAUAUUGAGUAAUGUAUUUCCGUGUGUUUUGCAUAUAUUCACAAUUUAUUCCGUAAAUAAGGAAGAGAAUAUUCUUAGAGGCAUAGAUUAUGCUACAUUUGGGUGCGGCGAAUGUAAGUAAAUUAAUAAACGGAUGAAUUUAAUACCUAAGUGAUACUAAAGUAAAGAUGCAAUCAUAUGCUAUUUAAAUUAUACUCAAUGUAUUUUUGUACAGAGUGUGUUUAAGGCUUUGUCGCUAUCAUUUUCCAUUAUUUUUUUAAUAUGCUUCCACAUCAUGAACAGUCGAAAUAUAUUAUGCGUUUAUAGCAUAAUGUUUCUACUUAAUAGUUUCAUAUACAUUUUUUUUCUUUAUUCUACUAUACUCUUUAAGAAUAAUCUUAAUUGAGAGUAUAUAUAUAUUUAUAGAAAGAUACGCAAUAGAUAGAAAAGAGCAAAGGGGAAUAAAGGGGGAUGUCAAAUUCCUAUACUUUUUUUAGGAAGAAUUUAUCGUUAGACCGUCUUAAGUUCCAAUAUUUUAUUUUUUAUUUCAUCAUAUGUUAACUAAUUCAUUUCAAAGAGAGCGAAGAUAAAAAUAGAACUAAAGAAUUAAUAAUAAAAUUUAAAAAAAAAAGGAAAAAAAAAGAAAGAAAGGAAGAAAUACAUGAACAAAAAAAAAUAUUCGUAGAUUGUGAUCUACGAAAAAAGUCACCAAAUUUUAAUCAUAUCGUAAAACGUUACGCAAGACAUCCGUUAGAAGAAUUAAGUUGUAAAUAUGUGAAGAAAAAAAAAAGAAAGAAAAAAAGCAGCACCUUUCAGGAGUACUCUUGAAAAUUUUCAUUUAAAGUCGAGAAAUCUAAAAAAAAAAAAGAAAGAAAAAAAAAGAAUAUAUUGUCCGGCUGUUUGUUACCAAAAUUGUUGUAUUCAAUAUUACACAAAUCAUCACAUUGAUGUAACAUUUAUCAAAGAACGGAAGUUUUGCACAUUGUACAAUUACCACGUGCUAAUAAUAAUAAUAAUAAUAAUAAUAAUAAUAUUGAUAUUAAAUAUUAAAGAUAACGACGUACGUUUUACAUUUAAAAUACCAGCGAAAUGUGACAUAUAUCAUUUUUAUUUUUCAUUUUUUUUCUCUCUCUAACAUGUACCCAAGUAGAAAAUAAAAUACACAGACAGACAGUCACGUAUACACAUACCACACAUAAUAAAGAGACAGAGAAGAUUUUUUAUAAGAAAAUCCUGUUCACGAAUUCUGUAAGCUAAUACGAACGAUUAUAUGAAAGAAAAUGAAUGUGUAUUUACGACGAUAAAAUAUGUGAAUGGACUAUAAACGAAAGAUCAUAUUUUGCAUUUUAUUCUGUCGGUGAAUGAAUGAUGCGAUGAGAUUAAAUUAAACUAAGCCGAAUAUUAAAUUACACAGGCAGAAUAAGUAGCAUAUAACAAGCAACGUUGUAAAAAAGACAAACAUAUAUUUAAAAAACAAAACAACAAAUUUAAUGCAACAGGUAUAUUUGGAUUAUCAAACGAAAGAGAGAGUAUCUUAUAAGAGUCGAUUAAUUCGAAUUUACGUAUAUCUUAUUUAAUGAAUCAUUAAAUAAAGAAAUGUUGAUCGACUUUUAAAAGAAUUUACAAUAAUUUAUUUUUAACGUUUAAUCAGAGUGUAAUUUUUAACGUUAUUGCUUUGCGUGAUAUAUGAUUUUCGUUAGACGUUAGCAUUGUUCUCAUUUUUGUAACAUUAUCAUAUCUUUUUCGUUUCUUUUUUUGAUUCUUUGUUUUUUCUUUUUUAUUUUUAAUUAUUGUCAAUAUACUUUAAAAAUCUAAUUUACAUCGUGUUAUAUGUGUAAUUAAUGUGUACAUAUUGUUAUGAUAAUAAUAAUUACAAGAUUACACAUUAAAAUACUUAUUGCUUGUUUAUUGCUACAAAAAUCUGUCUUUAUUAAAUAUUAAAUUUGGUCACAUAAAAAGAGGCGAAAAUGAACGAACGACUGAAACCCAAAAUAUGUCUGGUGUAGAAGUGCGAACAAUAUUUAAUUAAAUAAAAUUUAAAUUUAGAUGAAA